rnacentral:rRNA from 1 species
ACCCCUUGAGGGUCCUAAAGGGCCGUUGGAGACCACAACGUUGAUAGGUGGGGUGUGUAAGCGUAGCGAUACGUUGAGCUAACCCAUACUAAUUACCCGUGAGGCUUAACCAU